rnacentral:rRNA from 1 species
UACAGAGGGGGCAAGCGUUGUUCGGAAUUACUGGGCGUAAAGGGCUCGUAGGCGGCCAACUAAGUCAGAUGUGAAAUCCCCAGGCUUAACCUGGGAACUGCAUCUGAUACUGGAUGGCUUGAAUCCGGGAGAGGGAUGCAGAAUUCCAGGUGUAGCGGUGAAAUGCGUAGAUAUCUGGAGGAAUACCGGUGGCGAAGGCGGCAUCCUGGACCGGCAUUGACGCUGAGGAGCGAAAGCUAGGGGAGCAAACGGG